rnacentral:rRNA from 1 species
AGGCCCUACGGGGCGCAGCAGGCGCGAAAACUUUACAAUGCGGGAAACCGUGAUAAGGGGACACCGAGUGCCAGCAUCAUAUGCUGGCUGUCCAGAUGUGUAAAAUACAUCUGUUAGCAAGGGCCGGGCAAGACCGGUGCCAGCCGCCGCGGUAACACCGGCGGCCCGAGUGGUGAUCGUGAUUAUUGGGUCUAAAGGGUCCGUAGCCGGUUUGGUCAGUCCUCCGGGAAAUCUGAUGGCUCAACCAUUAGGCUUUCGGGGGAUACUGCCAGGCUUGGAACCGGGAGAGGUAAGAGGUACUACAGGGGUAGGAGUGAAAUCUUGUAAUCCCUGUGAGACCACCUGUGGCGAAGGCGUCUUACCAGAACGGGUUCGACGGUGAGGGACGAAAGCUGGGGGCACGAACCGGAUUAGAUACCCGGGUAGUCCCAGCCGUAAACGAUGCUCGCUAGGUGUCAGGCAUGGCGCGACCGUGUCUGGUGCCGCAGGGAAGCCGUGAAGCGAGCCACCUGGGAAGUACGGCCGCAAGGCUGAAACUUAAAGGAAUUGGCGGGGGAGCGCAACAACGGGUGGAGCCUGCGGUUUAAUUGGACUCAACGCCGGACAACUCACCGGGGACGACAACAAUAUGUAGGCCA